AUUGAACGCUGGCGGAAUGCUUUACACAUGCAAGUCGAACGGCAGCACGGGGGCAACCCUGGUGGCUAGUGGCGAACGGGUGAGUAAUACAUCGGAACGUGCCCGGUCGUGGGGGAUAACGUAUCGAAAGUUACGCUAAUACCGCAUACGAUCUGGGGAUGAAAGCGGGGGACCUUCGGGCCUCGCGCGAUCGGAGCGGCCGAUGUCAGAUUAGGUAGUUGGUGGGGUAAAGGCCUACCAAGCCGACGAUCUGUAGCUGGUCUGAGAGGACGACCAGCCACACUGGGACUGAGACACGGCCCAGACUCCUACGGGAGGCAGCAGUGGGGAAUUUUGGACAAUGGGCGCAAGCCUGAUCAAGCCAUUCCGCGUGCAGGACGAAGGCCUUCGGGUUGUAAACUGCUUUUGUAUGGAACGAAAAGGCUAUGGCUAAUACCUGGGGCUCAUGACGGUACCGUAAGAAUAAGCACCGGCUAACUACGUG
rnacentral:rRNA from 1 species